CUGCUUCUGCAAUGGUUCUGUCUAGCCAUCUUUUAACCCUUUUUCUCUGACUUGCUCUGGCAGUUGAUCAAUCUAUUUUCCUAGGUUUCUGUUAAUAGGUUCCAAAAAGAAAUUCCUGAAUUUAUGUGAAGUUCUAGUUAGAUAUUUUAACUCCUUAAAUUUAAUAAUUUAGUAGUGCCCAGGUAAUUAUCUUGGUUUGUACAGAUGAUAUGGAUAGAGCAUGAAAUGGAUUUGUUCAUAUCUGAUAUUUGAUAGUCUAGUAGUUUAUUUUAUUGAACCUGCUUUGAAAUUCAAUUUGAAUGGGGAACUCAGAUUCAUAGCUGUGUUUAUAUUAUGAAGGGAAAGUAUAGUG